GACGAACGCUGGCGGCGUGCUUAACACAUGCAAGUCGAACGGUAAGGCCCUUCGGGGUACACGAGUGGCGAACGGGUGAGUAACACGUGGGUGAUCUGCCCUGCACUUCGGGAUAAGCCUGGGAAACUGGGUCUAAUACCGGAUAGGACCACUGCCUGCAUGGGUGGUGGUGGAAAGCUUUUGCGGUGUGGGAUGGGCCCGCGGCCUAUCAGCUUGUUGGUGGGGUGAUGGCCGACCAAGGCGACGACGGGUAGCCGGCCUGAGAGGGUGACCGGCCACACUGGGACUGAGAUACGGCCCAGACUCCUACGGGAGGCAGCAGUGGGGAAUAUUGCACGAUGGGCGCAAGCCUGAUGCAGCGACGCCGCGUGAGGGAUGACGGCCUUCGGGUUGUAAACCUCUUUCAGCACCGACGAAGCGCAAGUGACGGUAGGUGCAGAAGAAGGACCGGCCAACUACGUGCCAGCCGCCGCGGUAA
rnacentral:rRNA from 1 species